AAUUAAACAGGCAGCCAGUGGAUUCAGCACAUCUGAACUAGCUCACAGGCUUCACUCCGUUUCCUGAAAAUAAGUCAGGUAGUUUUACACCAUAGACUGUACAUACUGUUUUACACCGACCGAGCAUCUGUAACGGACCGUUCCCUGUUUGAUGAAGACAUUUGUGAUGGACGCAAGUUAACGGAGACCGUCGGUUAAACAGAGACUGCAGCAGGGGGAAUAGGUUCUUUGAUCUGAGGUUAUUUAUUGAAGCGCCUCGUGAUUUUUAUCUGGAGAGGCGCUAUAGAAAUGAUGUUUUCUUCUUUUGUGGGCAGCUACGAGGGGAGUGCUUUCAACCAACAUGAGAACAGCACUCCAGCUGCUUUCCACCCCAACGAUUUCUUACUAGGUUUGUUUAUUUGUAUUCUUUCUAUCACGUUAAAGUUUUAAAGUAGCUCAGAGACCGAUCUAAUACCCAGUUAGCUUAGCUUGCUAAGUGAUGAUGGAAUGAUCACAGCUAGAAACACAGCUGUUAGUGUCCUGUUUAUACCUUUUACUGUUUCUGCUCCACUUUAUGCUAGCAAUGGAAAUCCCAAACUUCCACACAGUUGUGUUGAAGGCUAGCAUCAGAGCUGCGUACUCACUCAAGUCCUGCCUAAUAGCAUCUUGCACAUCUGGUUCCAGAUAAACAGAUGUAACACCAGCUAAAUAUCUAAAUACAAGGCUAGAAAAUAGUGUUGAUGUGCGGAAGUAGUAAACUAGCAAAAGUAGUGAAAAGAUGACUCCUAUCACUUCACCUGACCCGUUUAGUAUAAGUGAGAUUAGUAGAAUUAGAAAUAUUUAUUGUACAUCUGAGGAAGCUGUGGGCACAAUGAAAUCACAAAGGCUUCUUCAGGGUGCUGUUCCUAAUGUUUAUGAUGAGUAAAAGGGAAUAAAGGAAGAACAAAAGAGAACUGCUCGUAGGUUUUUGUGUGCAAAGAAUGCUUGAGGGAAGGAACUGAUCUUGAAUCUGCUUGUCUUUAGUCUCCUGGACCUGUAGCACUUGCCAGAGGGCAGCAGGUGAAACUGAUGGUGGGUGGGGUGAGUUUUGUGCCUGGUGAUGGCAUGGUGUCUGUGCUCUGCUGAGGAUGCAGGAUGAGUUUGUGUCUUUUAGGGAUGUUUUGACCACUUUCUGUGUCCGGUCUGCCUCAGUGGGAAUGGAGAACCACACAGAGGAGCUGUAGGUCAGGAUGCUUUCUGUGGAGGAAUUGGUUAAAGGUUGUCAGCAGCUUCCUGCUGAUGUUGCUCCUGAACACUCAGGAUGUGCAGAAGCUGCUGAGCCUUCUUGAUGAAGAACCUGGUGCAUGCAGACCUUGUCAGGUCAGCAGAGAUGUUAAUCAGAUGAACAUGUAAUCAUGCAACUAAUCACACAUUCUUUUUAAUCUCAUCAUAGGGAUGGGCUAUGUGGCCUAAAAUCAAUAUCAUGGUACAUUGUGGAUUUCAACUUGAAAACGAUAAAUGGACGAAAACUACAGUGCUCCCUGCAGAUUUAAGAAGAAGCCCCUGAAGAAUGGAAGCCUGGUGUGGACAGCAGAACCCCGAGCCCCUCAACAUAAAGGAGGAAGAGGAGGAGCUGUGGGACAGUGUGGAGAAGGACAAGCUUAACGGGAGAAAGGAGACUAAUGCCAGCAGGUUUUCAUUCACGUCUGUUCCUUUGAAGUGUGAAAACGAUGAUCAGAAACCUCUGUGCUCACAGUUUCAUCUGCAACAAGUGGAUGAUGGAGAUCUUCCAGCCAGCAGCUCAGCUGAUCAGCUGAAGGCAGCAGCUGGUGAGGAGGACUACGGAGCAGCAGAAAAUAGCUGGAACCUAGAUCUAAACCCUCACAGAGAGGAGUCCAACUCUUCAUUGACUGAAGUCAGUGAGAAUGAUGCAGAAGAUGACAUCAUGGACAGUCCUGAACUUCAGCUAAAUUACUUAAAGAAAAGAGUAUUAUCAUGCAGGAAGUCGUUUAGUUGUGAUGAUUGUGGAAAAACCUUUUCUAGAUCUUCGGAUCUAAAGGCACACACGAGAACCCAUACAGGAGAGAAACCUUUUGGUUGUGAGGUUUGUGGAAGAAGGUUUAACCUGAAAACACAUUUAAAUGCACAUGUGAGAAUCCACACCGGAGAGAAACCCUUUCCCUGUGGUGUGUGUGGUCAGAAGUUUAGACAUAAAAACUAUCUAAAUGGACACAUGAGAAGCCACACAGGGGAGAAACCGUUCUCUUGUGACGUUUGUGCUCAAAGUUUUAGACACAAAACAAAUUUAAACACACACAGGAGAAUUCACUCAGGAGAGAAACCAUAUCCUUGUGAUGUUUGUGGACGAAGAUUUAACCAAAAGACAAAUUUAAACACACACCUGAGAAUUCACACUGGACGGAAAGAGUUUGAUUGUGAUUUUUGCGGACUGCGGUUUAACCAGAAGAUCAAUUUGAACACACACAUGCGGGUCCACACAGGACAGAAACCUUUUCCUUGUGACGUUUGUGGGCAAAAAUAUAGUCGAAAGACACAUUUAAACAACCACAUGAAAAUCCACACAGAAGAAAAAACGACUGGUCAGUGAACAUGAAAGUCCAAGUAUUUCUAACAACUGUACUACGAUAACACCUGGGGAAUGCAGUGUGGACUUCCAUUGCAUGGUUGCAAAAAAAUCAUACCAACAAAUAUAAAAUGAUAUGCAAAUUGAAAUACAGUUCUAGAAAUGGGACUCGUACACAAAAAUAAAAUUCUGGUGAAUCGAGCCAGCAUCUAGAGAAAAUUCUGUUUUUCUAUGUUUACACAUAAUCUAUGAAGGGGAUCAUAACUUCCUUGGUGCUUGAACAGUGGGCAGUGAUGGCUGCACUAGUCCGGAAUAGGAAACUCGGUCAGUGUGUUUACAUGCAGCGUUAGAAAACUGAAUUAUUACUUUAGUCUGGCUGAAGUGGAACCAAACUGGACUAAUCCUAAUCGAGCUAAGGCACCCAGAUAACGGGGUUAGAAAACCAAACUUAUCUCUAUGUAAGCAACAUCCGAGCUUAGCCAAGCUAUGACCAACCCAGGCGCUCCCCUUCAAGAAGAGACGAGACCGCAGAAGCAGUGACCGCACCUGCUGUGUGAUCUGUGACAUCACAGCCCAGUUAACCGGAAGAUUGUCGACACGAAAGGGCUCAUGUCACCACCGUCACGGAGUCGAAUGCACAUCAUUGAAAAAUUUGUUUUCCUAACUGACAUGUAAACUAGGAUAAAGUCUCCCUUUCUGGUUCAGGUACUGGCUCUAUUAAUGCCGUAGUUCUACUUAACAUCCUGAGUCGUGGUGCAGUCUGGGAAAGCAAACACCCCUCAUCACCCGCUGCACCUCAUUGUUCCCCACAUCUCGUCUGUAGGUGAAAAUAAGGAAGUCAUUGUGUUGUUAAUGCAUGUGAUUCAAAAGGUUGGAAUAAUUUCCCACAGAGGAGGACAAGUCAGAAGAAGCUCAGACCGAGCCAGCGCUCAACUCUGGUUUCUCAGGCUGGGGUGGAAGCUGCUGUGGUUGGGUUGUGUGGGUCAGUAGCUGCUGAAGCUUUUGUUUAGAGUAAAGUGUGUGUGUGUGUGUGUGUGUGUGUGUGUGUGUGCGCGUGCGCGUGCCUCAGCAUCUGCCUGUGCUCAGUUUGUGAUUCCUAACCUAUAAACAGAUAAAGAUGAGGCAAAAGAAUUUUCCAGUUCUGUGGCUUUUAUACACAAAUAUUAAUUGUUGUAAAUAUUUAAUAUGUUCAAAUAGGCUAGAUAUGAAGUAUUACUUAUGGCUUUGUGGAAAAACCGAGUUUUAUGUCUUAAAAAUUAAAGGUACAAAAUCGUG